GUGAUGGCAAAAAGGUUGUUAUUCCUUGACGACCGUAAUCCGUUUGAGGGAGGUGAUGCACUAGUAGGAUAGGCUAAGCACACUGUUGGUUGUGUGUGCCCAAGGAUUGAGGCAGUCAAAGUAGUCAAAUCCGCUUUGAUAAUGCUGGGAUGUGAUGGGGAGCGAAAUUUAGUAGCGAAGUAGCUGAUUUCACACGGUCAAGAAAAGUCUCUAUCGAGGUUAAAGGUACCCGUACCGCAAACCGACACAGGUGGGUGAGGAGAGUAUCCUAAGGCUAGCGAGAGAACUGUAGUUAAGGAACUCGGCAAAAUGAACCCGUAACAUAGGGCUCAGGCGUGCCACCAUAAGGUGGCCGCAGCGCAUAGGCCCAAGCGACUGUUUACCAAUACAUUAGGUUUAUGCCAAGUCGCAAGGAGAUGAAUAGGUUCUUAUGCCUUGCCUGGU
rnacentral:rRNA from 1 species